ACACGUAAGCUCUCAUAAACGACACCUCAAUCAAAUCCGUGAAGCCACCCACGGCGGUGCCGUUUUGUUGCGUUGGACUAGCAGAGACCUGAAACGAAGAAAGUACUCAACACCUUGUCAAAGUUUUUGGAUCUGGGUACCAGUUGAUACAAUUUUUAAAAUUAGAUGGUAGCUUUCUAAAGUGUCCCCACAUAGUAUUAAUCCAGGUUUCUGAUUGGCUGCUGCACGCUGUAGGCUCUAUGCGUUUCACACGUAAGCUCUCAUAAACGACACCUCAAUCAAAUCCGUGAAGCCACCCACGGCGGUGCCGUUUUGUUGCGUUGGACUAGCAGAGACCUGAAACGAAGAAAGUACUCAACACCUUGUCAAAGUUUUUGACUUUAAGAUCUGGGUACCACCUCUCACUUGCCCACUGCAUCGAAUUUGUCGCAAUUUGAUUUCAGAAGAGAAAAUUCCCAAAAAUAAAUAAGAGGGGGGAAGCUAUG
rnacentral:lncRNA from 1 species